AGAUGAUGGACUUCAGACUUAAGAAGAAAUAAAGUCUUUCCCACCAAAAAUAAAAUAAAAGGCUGUCUCACUGAACCUGAUGUACUAGAGAAGAAACCAACAAACCCCAGGGAUAUUCCUGUCUCUGUCCUCCAAUAUUAUAAUUACAGGAAACUGCAGCCAUGCCCAGCUUUUCAUGACCUCCAUACGAAACUGAUGCCACAAAUGGACUUUUAAAACACUGAAAAAUAAAAGGGAUUUAUCAAAGUAGUGGAGAAGAUGUGUAAGAG
rnacentral:lncRNA from 1 species